rnacentral:rRNA from 1 species
CCCUUAGACGUUCUGGGCCGCACGCGCGCUACACUGACCAGUGCAACAAGCAUCCGUCCUUGGCCGACAGGCCCGGGCAAUCUUUGAACGCUGGUCGUGAUGGGGAUAGACUUUUGCAAUUUUUGGUCUUCAACGAGGAAUUCCUAGUAAACGCAAGUCAUCAACUUGCAUUGAUUACGUCCCUGCCCUUUGUACACACCGCCCGUCGCACCUACCGAUUGAAUGGUCCGGUGAAAUCUUCGGAUUGAGACUUUGAUUUCUUCACGGAAAACGCUGUUUUAAGAAGUUGAUUAAACCUUACCAUUUAGAGGAAGGUGAAGUCGUAACA